rnacentral:rRNA from 1 species
AGUGAACGCUGGCGGUAGGCCUAACACAUGCAAGUCGAACGGCAGCACAGUAAGAGCUUGCUCUUGCGGGUGGCGAGUGGCGGACGGGUGAGGAAUACAUCGGAAUCUACUUUUUCGUGGGGGAUAACGUAGGGAAACUUACGCUAAUACCGCAUACGACCUACGGGUGAAAGCAGGGGAUCUUCGGACCUUGCGCGAUUGAAUGAGCCGAUGUCGGAUUAGCUAGUUGGCGGGGUAAAGGCCCACCAAGGCGACGAUCCGUAGCUGGUCUGAGAGGAUGAUCAGCCACACUGGAACUGAGACACGGUCCAGACUCCUACGGGAGGCAGCAGUGGGGAAUAUUGGACCAUGGGCGCAAGCCUGAUCCAGCCAUACCGCGUGGGUGAAGAAGGCCUUCGGGUUGUAAAGCCCUUUUGUUGGGAAAGAAAAGCAGCAGGUUAAUACCCCGCUGUUCUGACGGUACCCAAAGAAUAAGCACCGGCUAACUUCGUG